rnacentral:rRNA from 1 species
CACGUAGGGUGCGAGCGUUGUCCGGAAUUACUGGGCGUAAAGGGCUCGUAGGUGGCCAACUAAGUCAGACGUGAAAUCCCUCGGCUUAACCGGGGAACUGCGUCUGAUACUGGAUGGCUGGAGUAUGGGAGAGGGAUGCGGAAUUCCAGGUGUAGCGGUGAAAUGCGUAGAUAUCUGGAGGAACACCGGUGGCGAAGGCGGCAUCCUGGACCAUUACUGACGCUGAGGAGCGAAAGCCAGGGGAGCAAACGGG